GUUUAAUUACAACCGUACAAAAUCAAAAGAUUACAGGGGAUAGAGGCAAAAACCAUUUUUCCAAGAGCAAGCAAAACCCAAUAUCACAUUUGGAUUAGGCUGCCUUUCAUUGGAUUUAUUACUUAUUUGCAGUUACCUCCUCUUGAACCAGAAGACAAGACACAAUAAAAAAAGAUAAUACAAAUACCAAGAGUAGCUUAGUAUGACCAGCACCAGAAGGCAUGAUCUUCAAAACUUGCAGGUGGGUCGGAGUAAUCACCAUCUUCAAGCUUUGGGAAGACAUAUGGGGGCAAUAGGCUCUCGCUUAAAUUAUCUUCUUCAUCCUGGGAUAAGUCUGACUGGUCUGGUUCAAAAACAUAUGAAGAAUCACCAGCCUCUAAGAGUGAAGAGUGAACCCCAUCAGUGUAAUGUGGGCUGUCUGAAUCAAAUAUAUCACUUUUGGCUGAGCUAAUAUCUUCUUGCUUACAGGCCACAAUUGAAACUUUUGAUACUUCACCCUCA
rnacentral:misc_RNA from 1 species